rnacentral:rRNA from 1 species
UACGUAGGGGGCAAGCGUUAUCCGGAUUUACUGGGUGUAAAGGGAGCGCAGGCGGCGCGGUAAGUCUGAUGUGAAAGCUCGGGGCUCAACCCCGGGACUGCAUUGGAAACUGUCGUGCUGGAGUGUCGGAGGGGCAAGUGGAAUUCCUAGUGUAGCGGUGAAAUGCGUAGAUAUUAGGAGGAACACCAGUGGCGAAGGCGGCUUGCUGGACGACAACUGACGCUGAGGCUCGAAAGCGUGGGGAGCAAACAGG